GGGCCCGCACAAGCGGUGGAGCAUGUGGUUUAAUUCGAUGAUACGCGAGGAACCUUACCAGGGUUUAAAUGCAGAACGACAGGGGUGGAAACACCCCCUUCUUCGGACGGACUGCAAGGUGCUGCAUGGUUGUCGUCAGCUCGUGCUGUGAAGUGUCGGGUUAAGUCCCAUAACGAGCGCAACCCCCAUUUCUAGUUGCCAGCGGUUCGGCCGGGGACUCUAGAGAAACUGCCAGCGUAAGCUGUGAGGAAGGUGGGGAUGACGUCAAAUCAUCACGGCCCUUACAUCCUGGGCCACACACGUGCUACAAUGGUAGGGACAACAGGUUGCCAACCCGCGAGGGUGAGCCAAUCCCAAAACCCUAUCUCAGUUCGGAUCGGAGUCUGCAACUCGACUCCGUGAAGUUGGAAUCGCUAGUAA
rnacentral:rRNA from 1 species